AGAGUUUGAUCCUGGCUACAGAACGAACGCUGGCGGCAUGCCUAACACAUGCAAGUCGAACGAGACCUUCGGGUCUAGUGGCGCACGGGUGCGUAACGCGUGGGAAUCUGCCCUGGGGUGCGGAAUAACUCGGAGAAAUCCGUGCUAAUACCGCAUAAUGUCUUCGGACCAAAGAUUUAUCGCCUGGGAUGAGCCCGCGUAGGAUUAGCUAGUUGGUGGGGUAAAGGCCUACCAAGGCGACGAUCCUUAGCUGGUCUGAGAGGAUGAUCAGCCACACUGGGACUGAGACACGGCCCAGACUCCUACGGGAGGCAGCAGUGGGGAAUAUUGGACAAUGGGCGAAAGCCUGAUCCAGCAAUGCCGCGUGAGUGAUGAAGGCCCUAGGGUUGUAAAGCUCUUUUACCCGGGAUGAUAAUGACAGUACCGGGAGAAUAAGCUCCGGCUAACUCCGUG
rnacentral:rRNA from 1 species